rnacentral:lncRNA from 1 species
AGAGGGACUUUCAGCAGCUGGAGAGUCCCUGCCCCAACUCACAGAAUCCUCCCUCCUUCCACUUUCCAUCCCAGACCCCCUGGAGGAGAAAAGCCAGGGGCUCAGGCCCUCUGUGGGGCUGGCUGUGCACAAACCUCUCAAGGCUCCGGGACACCUGGCGAUGUUUCUGUGCUUCAGGAAGCUGGGAAUCAGCAAUACCUUUUGAAGACAAGUGUGCACACACUAUAAAUAGGUGUCAUGGAGGAGACAAAGACUUCCUUCUGGUGAUGAUCAUUGGAUCAAUACACAUAAACUGAGUUGGCCUGGAGAAAGUAUAAAAUGUCAAUGCCAAUGUCAGCUCAACCUGGAGAGACCUCAGAGCACUGUUGGGGGAAUCACCAUGUCCAAGCUAAAUUGUGCGCAUAUCCUGAAAAAUACAUUGUAAAGUAACA